CCUACGGGUGGCAGCAGUGGGGAAUAUUGCACAAUGGGCGCAAGCCUGAUGCAGCCAUGCCGCGUGUGUGAAGAAGGCCUUCGGGUUGUAAAGCACUUUCAGCGGGGAGGAAGGCGGUGAGGUUAAUAACCUCAUCGAUUGACGUUACCCGCAGAAGGAGCACCGGCUAACUCCGUGCCAGCAGCCGCGGUAAUACGGAGGGUGCAAGCGUUAAUCGGAAUUACUGGGCGUAAAGCGCACGCAGGCGGUCUGUCAAGUCGGAUGUGAAAUCCCCGGGCUCAACCUGGGAACUGCAUUCGAAACUGGCAGGCUAGAGUCUUGUAGAGGGGGGUAGAAUUCCAGGUGUAGCGGUGAAAUGCGUAGAGAUCUGGAGGAAUACCGGUGGCGAAGGCGGCCCCCUGGACAAAGACUGACGCUCAGGUGCGAAAGCGUGGGGAGCAAACAGGAUUAGAUACCCCUGUAGUC
rnacentral:rRNA from 1 species